rnacentral:rRNA from 1 species
UGGGGAAUUUUGGACAAUGGACGCAAGUCUGAUCCAGCCAUGCCGCGUGCGGGAAGAAGGCCUUCGGGUUGUAAACCGCUUUUGUCAGGGAAGAAACGAGUUUCUCUAAUACAGAGACUUAAUGACGGUACCUGAAGAAUAAGCACCGGCUAACUACGUGCCAGCAGCCGCGGUAAUACGUAGGGUGCGAGCGUUAAUCGGAAUUACUGGGCGUAAAGCGUGCGCAGGCGGUUAUAUAAGACAGAUGUGAAAUCCCCGGGCUCAACCUGGGAACUGCAUUUGUGACUGUAUUGCUAGAGUACGGCAGAGGGGGAUGGAAUUCCGCGUGUAGCAGUGAAAUGCGUAGAUAUGCGGAGGAACACCGAUGGCGAAGGCAAUCCCCUGGGCCUGCACUGACGCUCAUGCACGAAAGCGUGGGGAGCAAACA